GAGCAGUUCCUGCUGCAGUGGUUGUACAGAACAUGAGCCCUGACUGCUGGGGAUAGAAGUUGGCAGGACAACAGUAUCAAGGCUGUGCUUCAGAGAAGGAUUGGCAGUACCAGGUGGUUUUGCCUGCUCUGACCUAGAUAGUCUGUGGGAUCCUACAGACUUCUGAGCACAUGCAAAAAGGGGUAUUCCCUCCUGCGUGUUUCUAAGAGAUAGAGAAAUGAAAAAUAUGAAAGCUGAUGUUACGACUGAGAGGCAGAGGAGCCCCAGGAGUGCGUGCUGCCUUCAAAAUCACUACUGUUCUGAAAGCAAACAAAGUUUUAAGAAACCAGGAUCUGAGGUUUCAUUCCUCAGUCUGAGCAGUGACUCACCCACAUUCCUGACUGCUCCAACAAGAGGCGAGCCCUGCUCCUGGCAGACCUGAUCCUCUGCAUUGCAUUGUGCCAAGCAAAGUCCAGCAGCGGCAGCACAUCGGAGCUGGUGCAGAACGGGGCCAAACCAGUGUUGGUAAGGGGCCCCCUUUGCAGGCUGCUGGGUUAGCUGGAAAAUUCCUGAGCCCAGACCUCCUGCUUUUCAAGCCUGAAAAUACAGUGAAAAUGAAUACAGCCACUAUUAAUGAUUACUUUUCAAAGGCCAAACUCCUACCAAGGUCGUCUAAGAACGCUCAGAGGCAGCAGCUGAAGUUUUUCACAAUUCAAGGACAGCAGAGACAAGUACAAAACUAACUGAGCAGAGGGAGCCAGGCAGCACACAGGAACCUGUUUGCUGUGCUGGUAGCUGCAGCUGCAGACCUGGGGAGGAUGUCUGGGAGAUGCAGAAAGUGGACAUUUUGCAAAAUCACAUGAGAGAGUACCCAGCUCAGCUCGCCUCAGUCCUGCUGUCUUGCUUCCCCAUGGAAACGCCGUGCUGCACCAUCUGCCAGUGCCUCCCUGCAGCGCUUUGAGCUCUGACCCCGGCCCCAUCUGAAAGGUGCAUGAACCCACCAGAAGUCUCUGCCUUUAUCUUCCAAAUCUCAUCCUCUUGAUUGGGGAGUAAGGAGGCUGUGAGUGCACCCAUCCGCCAUCCUGCUGCCCCCCCAGCUCAUGUGUGCUUCAGCUGACAAUUACUGCACAGUUAUACACAGCAUGUCCUGCUUGCCUAGUGAGGGUGGGCAGGGAGCUGGGAUGGCUGUGGUGGAAUCCAGUUAUAAAGGACACAGAUUUGCAGGAAACUGGGCUUUACUUUCUGCUCAUGGAGAAACAUGUCCCAGUUGUCUGUUCUGGCGAAGUAUGCUAAAAUAUGCUCUCCAAAACACAUAUAAUGCCCAUCUAGCAGCCCUGAGAGCAUUUGGGAGGUGGUAUGUUGGCUGGGCAUAAGAAGGUGGGGAGAUCCCACAUCAGCACCCCAGCCUUAGCCCUGUGUCCUGUUGGCACAGCUGCGCUGGUAAAUGCCAGAGGUGGUGGCAUCAGGGCUGCCCCUCUGCUCGGCACAGCCCUACCACACUGACACAUUACACUGAAUAAAUGCAAAACCUUUAAGGAAGAAAUGAAUGUAGAUGCCAUGGGUAGGCUAGAGACUAAAGCAGUACUAUCAGGAAAGGGUUUCGAGGGGACCUUGACUGUAACGAUGUCUCCUUGCCAUCCCAUAUGAAGACAGAUUUUUUACACCCGCAUCUGCAAACUGGGACUGAAGGGUUUGUACCAACCUCUCCUGAGAGGGGGCUGCCAGAAACUGGUGAAUGUGCAGCACUGGUCCCAUUUCCUUCUCCAUGGUGAGUGUGGGGCUGCUCUGUUCCAUCCCAGCCCAGGGAGGUGCACGCAGGUGGGUCCACAUCUCCAUCCUGUUGUCAGCAUGAAAUGCUGAGGUCCUCUGUGUCCUCCUGGGAGUAACUGUGAAAUACACAGAGAUGAAAUUGACCCUGAAAUGCUAUUUGUCUGCUAGGAAUUUUGUAGUCAAAGCUCCAUCUUGGCUUCUUAGUGACAGGAUGUCUUGUUUAAACACAGAAACAUUCUAUCAUCAAUGAGCAAAACUAUUUCAGUACCAGUCAUACCAUGACUCUGAAGGCUGUUGCAAGUAUGAAUUGUUUUGAUGAUGUGUUAAAACAGUCACUGGGAUCACACAGUAUCUUAAUGCCUGCAAAUAUCUCAACAGAGAAUAAACAAAUAAUGAAGAAUGUUCUGGAUGCUUCACCACAUGGAUACCAGCAGACCAUAAUCUGUGUUUUUGUUCUGAGACAAAGAUCAGAAGAGAAAAAAGGAACUUCUGCUUGUCUGGCUGUGCUUUUUGCCUAACACCUAUCACAACUUGUGCAAAUCCUCUCUUACAUACCUAUGUAUACAGAGAUUGAGGUCACAGCUGUAAUCCAACCAAAACCAACACAGCGUGCAAAAAGGAAACACGUCUUUGCCACACACUUUGUCCACUGCAGUAAACUGGAAAGUAAUUCCGCCUUAUGAGUUAAGACAAAACAGUAACUGGGAAUUCAAGUGCAAGGGCUGCUAAUCUGCCCUACUCGCUCAGCGUGUUAUCAGCCAGGAGAAUUAAACUACAUCUGAUAUUCAAAUGGACAGAAUGAAAUGAAGCGCAAAAUCGGCGAGCAAAUGGAACUCGGCUCCUCCAGCUCCGCUCACCCACCGCAGUGCGUGCACUCCCGCACCGGGAACCGCUCCGGCCCCGCUGGAAACGAGCGGCUGCCACCUGCCGGCUGCACAGCCCCGGGCCCUCUGCCCUGCUGCAAAACCCGGAAUAGCUGGGGAAUAAAAAAAGGAUUAAAUUAACAAACAGAAGCUAGGAAUGCAGUAAAAAGUCGCCGAGAAAUAAAUGAUGCCUUUAGCUUC